UUCCUGAUGGUCCAGUGGCUAAGACUCUGCACUCCCAGUGCAGGGGACCCAGGUUCGAUCCCUAGUGAGGGAA
rnacentral:tRNA from 1 species